AAAAAUAUAAGACAUUUUAUUUGCUAACAAUUGACUUAUCAGAAAGGUAAUCAGUACAGAAAUGCUAUAUGUUUUGAAGCUUAAUUCUUCUGCAGUAAUGGAACUGGUGUUCUGUUGACAUUAACAAUCAAACUUUUCAGAUGAAGAGGCAAUGGUUAGGAUGACUAAGAGGAGUUUCAGACCCAUGUACACCUCAAAUCUCAGAAUGAUGGCUGGGUUGGGUAGUGUGAGGUUGGAGGAGCUAUAGACAAAUGUUUCUUUUUAAAAAAGGAUACUAAGAAGGCAAGUCAUGAUGUUGCCCUUACUCUGAUACAUUUCAGUGUAGAGGGUUUUUUUGGUUUGUUUUUUUCUUUUCAUUUCUAGAUUUCUUUUCAACCAGUUUUCAGGCAACAUUUUCUCACCAAGAAAGACCUCAUUAAAGCUCUUGUGGAGAAUAUAGAUAUGGACACAAGCCUCAUUUUGGAAUAUUGCAGCACAUUUCAGUUGGACUGCGAUGCAGUUCUUCAGCUCUUCAUUGAAACGCUGCUCCACAACACAAAUGCCGGCCAAGGCCAGGGAGAUGCAAGCAUGGACUCUGCAAAGCGGCGGCAUCCCAAACUCCUGGCCAAAGCCCUUGAGAUGGUUCCUUUACUGACGAGCACAAAAGAUUUGGUCAUCAGUCUUAGUGGAAUACUACAUAAGGUGAUUUAAAUAACCUCUCCUGCUGUCGAAGAGUAUGAAGUCACGACAGAACUAAUUGUGAAGAAUUAAGGCAACAUUUGCCAUGUAGGAAGUGGAAAAGG
rnacentral:sRNA from 1 species